GACAGAGGUGCCGAGCGUUAGGCGGAAUCACUGGGCUUAAAGCGUGUGUAGGCGGAUACCUAAGUACCUUGUGAAAUCCCACGGCUCAACCGUGGAACUGCUCGGUAUACUGGGCGUCUUGAGCCAGCUAGGGGCAACCGGAACAAACGGUGGAGCGGUGAAAUGCGUAGAUAUCGCUUGGAACGCCGAAGGUGAAAACAGGCUGCUGGGGUUAUGCCGACGCUGAGACACGAAAGCCAGGGGAGCAAACGGG
rnacentral:rRNA from 1 species